GAUGAACACUGGCGGCGUGCUUAACACAUGCAAGUCGAGCGAGUGAGUUCUUCGGAACGAUCUAGCGGCGGACGGGUGAGUAACACGUGGGCAACCUGCCUCAUAGAGGGGAAUAGCCUCCCGAAAGGGAGAUUAAUACCGCAUAAAAUUAUCGAGUGGCAUCACACGGUAAUCAAAGGAGUAAUCCGCUAUGAGAUGGGCCCGCGGCGCAUUAGCUAGUUGGUGAGGUAACGGCUCACCAAGGCGACGAUGCGUAGCCGACCUGAGAGGGUGAUCGGCCACAUUGGGACUGAGACACGGCCCAGACUCCUACGGGAGGCAGCAGUGGGGAAUAUUGCACAAUGGGGGAAACCCUGAUGCAGCAACGCCGCGUGAGUGAUGAAGGUCUUCGGAUUGUAAAGCUCUGUCUUUGGGGACGAUAAUGACGGUACCCAAGGAGGAAGCCACGGCUAACUACGUGCCAGCCGCCGCCGUAA
rnacentral:rRNA from 1 species